UCCUCUACCAGGACGCACGGUUGGAACAGGAUGGGGUCUUUUCACAGGAGAGACUUGCUGUUCCCUCCAGAAGGAUCUGCAUGGGAAGAGGCCAGAGUUCACGACCUUGAGUGGAGGAUGACCUGGAGAUGCAGGCUGUGUUCUCUGGGUGCCUCUUGUGUGCGGUCAGUCAUGAAGCAGGUAAAAUACCUUUGUCCAAAGCAUUGUCUGGGCCAUAGGACCAGAGCCAGUGUCUGUGAAACCAACAGCGCCGUAUGGGGACUGUCAAGUCAUUGCUCUCCUCUUAACGACCAGUGAGUGAAGGAAAUCCAUGAGCCUUUUCAGUCCCAUCAAUCAUGUGCACAUAUCCCAGCAGGCACUGAUUGCUUGUGAGUGUACACAGCUGCGAACCCAAGGGAACUUGGUUCACUUCAUUCUGUCUUUUACCCCAUAUGGUGCCUGGGAGAGUAAAAUAAAGAUGUCAGGACAGAGCAGAAGUGACGUGCUGUGGCAUUUCUAAGCCUCUGUACAUUUGCUUCACCCACACUGCAGACUCAGGGCUCUUCUCUUCUUCUUGGGCUCUGCCCGUGGUGUUCCUGCACCCUGUGGUGGACUGGGUUGUGCUGGUCACUGAACAGUGGCUGCACUCCAGGCCAAGCACAGAGACCAUGAGAUGGCUACCAAGGCUCUGGACUCUAGCCGAUCAGAGUCUUUGAACAAACUCUUAAACUAGAGCCUGCACGGCCGGUGACCAGCAUCUAAGGAAACAGAAGUCCCCAGGAAAAUACUGCCAUCUUUAACUUCUACAGCCCUGUUUAUGUGCUUACGCGUGUGCGAGUGUGUACGUGCAUAAUCCUAAUGCUUAAAAGAUGUAUUUAAACCAGUCAGGAACUCAAAUAUCGGUGACAUGGAUAGUGUGCCUUUGUUGCUCAAUCAAUGUUUACUGAACUGUUUGAAUGAAAAUGGAAACACACUUGAUAAGGCAAUAUUGUUUUGUCAGCUAAUGGCUUAUGGCAAGGCUGAGCUGAAGGCACACAAAGGCACCUCUAUUUGCAGGGGAUUAUUCAACACAACGCACACUGAUGAUGUUUUCCUAAAGGGAGAGUCUCUAGCCUGAAAUAAUUUGGUACCAGAAGUAUGUUUAUUUUGCCCUGAUGACACACACUGAAGUAAUACAAAGGGGUGAUGGAUUUUACAGUAAGCGCCCAUGGCUGUAUUCAAACACUACAGCCCCCUGCUUGAUCUGGGCUGCUUCUUAAAUGACCAGGACAUUUGAUAGCCAUCUGCCACCCAGCCUGAGAGCAUGGGUGUUUUCAACUUGAGGUGCUGGAGUAUCAUUUACAGUAGUGAAAUGCACCCUGAACUUAGAAUUAAUAGGACCUUAAAGAAUUCAAUAUUUAUGUCUUAUUUUGUAAAUAUAAUUUAUAAAAAUAUUUUCAUCUGCUCUAUAAUUGUCAGAGUCGAGGUGAUUAAAACUUAGCAGUGA